UUGCGAAUGAACUAUUAACUAUGUAUUGGUUUUUUUUGAUUGGUCACAUAGUAUGAUAAGUUCGUUACCAG
rnacentral:pre_miRNA from 1 species